rnacentral:misc_RNA from 1 species
UGGUAACGUCUUUCAGUAUGGAAGAUUUUCGAGAAUAUUUCAUACGGUCGACUAUGGACGGAUGUCUCAUUACUAUGGUGAAGUUCAUCUGCUUAGCCGCUUCGAGCAAUAAUUUACCCUCCAGUCCGCCUACUAUACUUCGCGUGCCAUUUUUGUAGCCGGCCAUUAUCAUUUUCGGUUUAAACGUCAUCGAGCUUACCACGUAGGGGCAACCCUUGCAAUCGUGGUAUUUGAAGGCCCAUCGGUUUAUCCGUUCCGAACUGACUCCCGGUUUCCAAAAGUCUAUCAGAUAGGCUUCCAUGGUGCAUUCGUCACCCAACAUCUCGCUGUACAGACCGACACCGUCCUCGGUCAAAUGCGCCAACUCGCUCGACGAUAUGUUCGCCUGUACCGCGAGUUCGAAUAUCAUUCAUGUCCGUCGAGGACGUGCAACAUUUAUUUUAUCCUUCGGAAUCCGAACGGAAGGACCGAUGAGAAAUAGCUAUCGCGAUAAAACUUUACAACUGGUACGACGGGUAUAGGU